rnacentral:sRNA from 1 species
CCGCAGGAGGACUGGAUAUGUUCGUCGAUGAGGUGGUGCUCGCAGGGGUGGUCACGGUCGGCUUGAUGUUCGCCUUCUUCGGUGGCGUCGGUUAUUUCAUCUGGCAGGACUCGAGCAAGAAGCAAGGUUGAUCCUGUCCGAUACACAGGGCACGCAAGGCAUUUAGGCGACUUCGGUCGCCUUUUUUUU